GGCCGCGGGACCCCGCAUUUCGGCAUCCUCCCUGCUUGGCCCAGGGUGCCCCGGCCCCUCGCCAGCGGCGGGCAUCGCGCGGCGUCUUCGGCAAACCCCCCUUUUAUCUCCCGAGGAAGCAAGUUGGGCAGAUCGAUUUAUUAAUUUCUGUGGCAGAGGGGAACCACAGGGCCAGUUCGCGGAGCUGUCGGCUGCGAGGACACCGCUUCCCUAGAGCCCGGCACGGAGGCCUUGUGGUCACCAGCCACAGGCUCCAGAUAGCUCGACCCACCUUUGCUGGGCGAAAGAGGUGUGGGCGUUCAUCUGCCCAUUACGGGAUGAGAAGGUGAACGAAAAAAAAAAAAAGCAAGCCACGUUGGAUGCAGCCCUGAUCUGAAAUUACCAAACACGUUACUGUGUCGCGCACGGCGCCGAAGGAACCGAGAAUUUAUUCUGGUGAUUCGCUAGUAGUGAUGGAGAUCCAGAUGUGCUUCCUGGUGGAUGAAGACCAUGUGCCCCGGCAUCAUUUAAAAAUUGGAUUGCGUUAAUUUGCCAUCUCCCGACGGUUAUUGAGGUUAAGCACAAAGAGAGUGUCUAAAGAAGCAAUUUUUUGUAUUAGUUUCUGGAAAAUUCAUUGUGAUGGCGGUGCAGUGGACAGUAUCAGGUGACACUGGGCGCGUGUAGUUGUUUGGUCCCUGAUGAAAAACCACGUUGUCUUUUGUACUGUGAACCCUGUCAAGGGCACAUGGCUCUAGGGCCAGUCACCGUAAGCAUUCAGUUGAAUGGACGGUCCAUGGUGCCUCAGAUUUUUUCCUGCAUGAAUCAGAGGACUCUGGGAGGAAACCUUUUGAUUUCUGCAAAAAAAAAAUAAAAAAUAAAAAAUAAAAAAUGUGAAGCC
rnacentral:lncRNA from 1 species